rnacentral:rRNA from 1 species
AACGAACGCUGGCGGCAUGCCUAACACAUGCAAGUCGAACGAGACCUUCGGGUCUAGUGGCGCACGGGUGCGUAACGCGUGGGAACCUGCCCUUAGGUUCGGAAUAACUCACCGAAAGGGGUGCUAAUACCGGAUAAUGUCAUCGGACCAAAGAUUUCGCGCCUGUGGAUGGGCCUGCGUUGGAUUCGCUAGUUGGUAGGGUAAAAGCCUACCAAGGCGACGAUCCAUAGCUGGUCUGAGAGGAUGAUCAGCCACACUGGGACUGGGACACGGCCCAGACGCCUGCGAGAGGCAGCGGUUGGGAAUAAUGGACAGGGGGCGAAAGCCUGAUCCAGCAAGGCCGCGUGAGUGAUGAAGGCCUUAGGGUUGUAAAGCUCUUUUACCCGAGAUGAUAAUGACAGUACCGGUAGAAUAAGCCCCGGCUAAUUCCGU